GUUCACGUUGAAGUCUCUGUUGAGUCAAUCAUCUGUUCUUUGAUUAGAGUUAAUAUCAACUAUUUUUGCUUAAUAAAGGACGAAAAUUAAUCACAGAAAAUAAUUAAAUAAAAUGUUAACAUUUGAAAAGUAAAUUAUGAUUUAAAACCAUUUUGGUUUUCAUAUCUUUAAGUAACUCUUUUCAUUAAAGACAAGAUUAGGAUACUUUCCCUGACUAUUACGUAUUAACAAGUCACAUUGUUUUUCCCUCUAAAUUUUUUCCUUAACCCACACAGUGCUUUAACCAUAUGUAAGUCAACUCUUUUCACCUAAUCAACUCUAAUUCAGCUUACUCUAGAAAGAUUACUUUUAUUAGUUUCGUGUUUAAUGAACGUCUAUUACAGUGUUUUAUCCAUUUAGGUCCACAAUUUUGAAACCUGAUUCACCAACCUACGGACAACUAAUAGCAACAAUAAUUGGUCUCCAUGAUAUCAACUAAUCUGGAAGUCGAAUUUAGUUAACAAGCAAUUGUGAUUCUCAAAAUCAAAUCUUAUUGAUUUUCCUGGACUUACACAGCGCAGCAAGAAGCUUUUUUUUCUUCUUGUUAGCUCAUUAUCAUUUGUUGAUGAUAACUUGGUAUGAAAAUCGAUGGUAGAUUAUUUUUAUUAUACUGAUCGUAUACAGAGAUGGGAAUAAUGAUAACAAUAUUUGAUGGUUAUGGCAAAAGUACAAUGGCGUUCCCAGUUUUAUCCUUGUUUUCCUUUACUUUCACCAUGAUGAUCUACUUUGUUGUUAUCAUCAUCAGUUCAUCAUUCAUUUUUAUCAAAAUCAUAUUUCCAUUUAAGCUUUUAGCAGGGAUCAAUGCUACUAAAUCUCAUUCAGUUCCUAACUCUCAGUUAAUUAAGUCAGUAGAGAAAAUGUGAGAGAUGAGUAAACAUUAUUAUUUACUCUAAGAAGUUAAAGUAAAGGGAAAACAAAAAAAAAUAUAUAUAUUGGUCGAACCAAUUCUCUUGCAAGUGUAACCAUCUUAGAGUGAAGAUAAAGAGAUGGGAAUUGAUGAUGAUGAUGAUUCUUGAUCAACCCAUGGAAACAACCUAUCGGAUGGUUGAUCAACACAUCAGUAUCAUCUUAAUCUUUUGCCAUUAUCCUCACAUGAUAGUUUUACUAACCCAUGAAUGAUAAAAGUUUGUUAAAAGGAUGUGAACCUCUAUUCUCUCAUGAUAAUCAAAUUGGACGGAGUACAGUAAAAAAAGAAAAAUGGUUAGAUUUGAAUAACAAGAUAAUAACAAUCAAUUGAUGCAGAUCAAUGUAGAUGAGAAGGAAACAAUUGGAAAAGUCUUGUUAUUCAAUACCUAUUCAAUUGUUGACAAUAGAAGGAACAAACUGCUGAUCACUAUAAAAGCUAUUAAAUCAAUCAAUCAAUUAAUAUUAAUGAAAAUUACAGUUCAAUUGGUAAGGUGAUUAAUAAAUUACCAUCAAUAAUUAUGCUCUUGGAGUCAUAUAAUACCAUUCAACUGAGCUAGGAGAAAUGUGUGAUGAAAGUCGAUAAUAAUUAUGGUAAAAACUCAGGGUAACCAAUGAAAGGCUCAAACAGACUGAAACUAAUGAUGAUCAUUUUGGAUAAUUUUCUGGAUAUUACAAAAAAGUCACGGUGUAAGGUCAUCAUAAUAAGCAACAUCUAUCGAGGCAACAUUUUAAUCUAUUGGGAGACUGAUAAAUUGCAAUAAUUUAUCUUCCAUGUGUAUGGAUGGCUACAGAGAACGAAAACAAGGCAAACUUCAAUAUAAUCAGUUGAUUAUUAUUGAUUUGACUUUUUUUUAUCUGAUCCCAGUUAUCCUCUGAAGCGACAAAGUCGAACUCAAAAUGAAAUGGUUUCAAAAUAUCAACAUUACUCUUACAUUUUCAUCAUUAUUCAGUAUAAGGUCGUGAGUUACUGCAUUUUUUCACCGUACAAAGAAACCUAUUUUUGUUUAUCAACUGGAAUCACUUGGAGGCAAAAUUAACAUCACAAUUUGAUUAUGACAAAUUCAGUAACAGGAAAACAAAAUUACAAAAAAUAAUAUUUUUUCUUUUUUCUCCUUUUUUCAAUUUUUUCCCUGCAAACAUCACAGAAACAUGGAGUAAACAAAAGAGCUUGUUAAGACGAACAAAAUAAAUUAGUAUUUUUCCCUCUGUUUGUUUGCUGUAUAAAAGAAUGUGUUUUACAUUAAAAGAAACAGAAUUGAAAUCAAUGUAACGAUGCAAGUAAAUCCAAAUAAUGGAUUUGUUUACUAAAUGUUACAGAAAGAGAAAAGGAUGAAGAUGAAGAGGAAGAUGAGAAGAUGCGAUGAAACUUUUUCAUUCUCAUUUUACAGUUAAAAAAGGUUUGGUCUGGAUUCAUGAUGUCAAUCCAUCCAUCCUGAAAUAGGCUUCAACUGAUAUCAUUUAACUUUAAUAGAUACAUGUGCUGUGAAUAUCAUUUACAAAGCAAAUUUAUCUAAAUCAAUGCCUUUUCCAUUUGUUCAUUUUUACCCUGUUUCUCUUUCAAUUGACUAUGUUAUGACUAUCAAUUCUGUUGGCAAGUUGAAGCAAAAUCAUCAAAAAUGAUUGCCAAAGAAUCCAGCUUAACUUUCCAAUAACAGCAUCCAAAUUUUGGUGGCAGUGACAUUAUUUUUCCCAUAUCCUUUGUUACCAUUCAAUAUCUCAUAUAUUAUGAUACAAUUGUUG